rnacentral:rRNA from 1 species
UACGUAGGGGGGCGAGCGUUGUCCGGAUUCAUUGGGCGUAAAGAGCUCGUAGGCGGUUCGGUUAGUCAGAUGUGAAAACUCCGGGCUCAACUCGGAGAGGCCAUCUGAUACUGCCGUGACUAGAGUUCGGUAGAGGAGUGUGGAAUUCCCGGUGUAGCGGUGAAAUGCGCAGAUAUCGGGAGGACACCAGCGGCGAAGGCGGCAAACUGGAUAGGCACUGACACUCAACAACGAAAGCGUGGGGAGCAAACAGG